rnacentral:rRNA from 1 species
UCGAACGGAGAUCUUGAAUAGCUUGCUAAUUGAGAUCUUAGUGGCGGACGGGUUAGUAACACGUGAGAACCUACCCUUUAGACAGGAAUAGCCCAUGGAAACGUGGAUUAAUGCCUGAUAGUCUCUACGGAGUAAAUGGUGCCUUCUGGUAUCGCUAGAGGAUGGGCUCGCGGCCUAUCAGCUUGUUGGUGAGGUAAAGGCUCACCAAGGCGACGACGGGUAGCUGGUCUGAGAGGACGAUCAGCAACACUGGAACUGAGACACGGUCCAGACACCUACGGGUGGCGGCAGUCGAGAAUCAUUCACAAUGGAGGCAACUCUGAUGGUGCAACGCCGCGUGGAGGAUGACGGUCCUAGGAUUGUAAACUCCUGUCAUUGGGGAGUAAGACUUAAGCGUUAAGAGCGUUUAAGUUUGAUAGUACCCAAAGAGGAAGGGACGGCUAACUUCGUGCCAGCAGCCGCGGUAAUACGAAGGUCCCAAGCGUUGUUCGGAAUCACUGGGCGUAAAGCGUGUGUAGGCUGCGCGGAAAGUCAAAUGUGAAAGCCCGGGGCUCAACCUCGGAACUGCAUUCGAUACUCCCGUGCUAGAGUAAUGGAGAGGUAAGUGGAAUUCCUGGUGUAGCAGUGAAAUGCGUGGAUAUCAGGAGGAACAUCAAUGGCGAAGGCAACUUACUGGACAUUUACUGACGCUCAGACACGAAGGCUAGGGUAGCGAAAGGGAUUAGAU